rnacentral:rRNA from 1 species
CAAGGAACGAACGCUGGCGGCAAGGCUUAACACAUGCAAGUCGAACGGUUGUAGCAAUACAGCAGUGGCAGACGGGUGAGUAACACGUGGGAACCUUCCUAGGGGUACGGAACAACUCAGGGAAACUUGAGCUAAUACCGUAUACGUCCGUGAGGAGAAAGAUUUAUCGCCCUUAGACGGGCCCGCGUCGGAUUAGCUAGUUGGUGGGGUAACGGCCUACCAAGGCGACGAUCCGUAGCUGAUCUUAGAGGAUGAUCAGCCACACUGGGACUGAGACACGGCCCAGACUCCUACGGGAGGCAGCAGUGGGGAAUCUUGGACAAUGGCGCAAGCCUGAUCCAGCCAUGCCGCGUGAGUGAAGAAGGUCUUCGGAUUGUAAAGCUCUUUUGCCAGGGACGAUAAUGACGGUACCUGGAGAAUAAGCCCCGGCAAACUUCGUG